GAAACUUUAUUUUUUUCUGGUUCUGCAAAAGAGGAAACUUUACAAGUUAUAAUUAUACUGUACGUAGCUACUUUUUUUUGUUUUUACCUUUUUUCCAAAUACAAACCCAGCAAUUAAAUGCAAAUUGCGUUCGUGGAUAAUUAUUACUGGAUAAAUUGAUACUAAAUGAAAUGUGUUGCCUUCUAAUACUAUUUAGUGGCUAAUACAGGAGCGUGAAGGCGCGUGCCGUGCCGUUACGCUAACGAUAGUUUGAUCAAAGAGGAGGUUGUAAACAGUAACAGGCGUCCGUCAUCGUUAAGAUUCCGUCACUUUCACCGUCUGCCCCAAAGCAGGGCAACAGGAUUGGCUAGAAUUGGGAAAGCAGAGAGAAACAACACGUGACUGACUUGACCUCACUUCUUUUCAUUAUUUACUAUUUCUGCCACUUUGGUAUUGGCUGUGUUGUGUUACCCCAACAUUAACCCAUGUGGGCUGUGGCAAGUGUGUUUUGGUUCUCUAAUCUUUUUUUUUCUCUCACUAAUUACUUACUUGUUUCAUUACUUACCUCUGCAAGAAUUGUUUGUCCAACUCCAUCAUUUACUAAUUAGAGAAAAACAUUAGAAAGUUAUUCACAUAGUCGUUGUUGUAUUAAAAAAAGCUUUUAAACUAAACGAAUUUUGUUAAACAUUAUUAUUAUGCGUAAAGCCUUCAACUAAAAUCAGGUAAAAUCGUUGUAUUAAAACGGUUAAAAUCACUCACAACAUAAUUAAAAAAAAAAAAAAAAAUCUUCCCACACUCAAAUCAGAAAGCCUCCAAAUAUAGUUAGAAAUUAAAAUAUAAAAAACUCAACAGUUUUUU
rnacentral:lncRNA from 1 species